rnacentral:rRNA from 1 species
UACGUAGGUGGCGAGCGUUGUCCGGAUUUAUUGGGCGUAAAGCGCGCGCAGGUGGUCCGUUAAGUCCUGUGUGAAAUCUCCCGGCUCACCCGGGAGGGGGCGCGGGAUACUGGGGGACUGGAGGCAGGCAGAGGCCGGUGGAAUUCCCGGUGUAGUGGUGAAAUGCGUAGAGAUCGGGAGGAACACCAGUGGCGAAAGCGGCCGGCUGGGCCUGUUCUGACGCUGAGGUGCGAGAGCGUGGGGAGCGAACCGG